UAAACCGUGGCUCAGUUCAGAUCGUAGGCUGCAACUCGCCUACGUGAAGUAGGAAUCGCUAGUAAUCGCAGGUCAGCAUACUGCGGUGAAUACGUUCCCGGGCCUUGUACACACCGCCCGUCACACCAUGGAAGUUGGCCAUGCCCGAAGUCGUUACUCCAACCCUUGUGGAGGAGGACGCCGAAGGUGGGGCUAAUGACUGGGGUGAAGUCGUAACAAGGUAGCCGUACCGGAAGGUGCGGCUGGAUCACCUCCUAA
rnacentral:rRNA from 1 species